rnacentral:misc_RNA from 1 species
AAAAAAAAAAAAAAAAAAGAGGCUUCUAGACAAAUGGAUCCAUACCAAUUUUUUUCCUAUUAUCCAUACCCAUUCAGAUUCUUUCAUUAACAUUUCCUAAGCAUUAAUGCAUCAGCAUCAAUUAAUCUAAGAAAAUUCUAUGAUUAACGACUGGAGGAGAAAAGCAAAACUUGAUUUAAUCUAGAAAAGUAACAAGAGGAUCAGUUUUAGUGAGCUAAACCUGAAGAAAUAAAAAAAAAAAUCCAAUCACUAGUCUACUCAAACCCUCUCUAAAACUGAACAUAUGCAUUGAACAAUGAACAACACUAGCAUGCAUUACCCACAAUGAAAAAUAAAUAAUUAAAUAACACACAAAAAAAAGAACCAUGAUACUAUAUCAAGAUACUACCUUGAAAAUAAAAAGGAAUGUUUCAAUAAUCAAAUCUAUGUAUGAUUAUAAACUAGAAAAGCAUUAAUAUUGCCGACCUUUAAAACCCACAAUGAAACCAAUAACAUUACAAGCUGAGAAAAAAAACACCCAUCAAGUAGUGAAAUGGCAACAAACAACUCAC